rnacentral:rRNA from 1 species
UACGGAGGGAGCUAGCGUUGUUCGGAAUUAUUGGGCGUAAAGCGCGCGCAGGCGGUUUCUUAAGUCUGAUGUGAAAGCCCACGGCUCAACCGUGGAGGGUCAUUGGAAACUGGGGAACUUGAGUGCAGAAGAGAAAAGCGGAAUUCCACGUGUAGCGGUGAAAUGCGUAGAGAUGUGGAGGAACACCAGUGGCGAAGGCGGCUUUUUGGUCUGUAACUGACGCUGAGGCGCGAAAGCGUGGGGAGCAAACAGG